ACCUCGGUGGUGUAGUGGUAGAACGCGCUCCCAGUAUGGGUGAAACACGGGUUCAAUACCCGCCUGAGAUU